GACGAACGCUGGCGGCGUGCCUAAUACAUGCCAGUAGAACGCUGAAGGAGGAGCUUGCUCUUCUGGAUGAGUUGCGAACGGGUGAGUAACGCGUAGGUAACCUGCCUGGUAGCGGGGGAUAACUAUUGGAAACGAUAGCUAAUACCGCAUAACAGUAGAUGUUGCAUGACAUUUGCUUAAAAGGUGCAAUUGCACCACUACCAGAUGGACCUGCGUUGUAUUAGCUAGUUGGUGGGGUAACGGCUCACCAAGGCGACGAUACAUAGCCGACCUGGGAGGGGGAUCGGCCACGCUGGGACUGGGACACGGCCCAGACUCCUACGGGAGGCAGCAGUAGGGAAUCUUCGGCAAUGGGCGGAAGUCUGACCGAGCAACGCCGCGUGAGUGAAGAAGGUUUUCGGAUCGUAAAGCUCUGUUGUAAGAGAAGAACGAGUGUGAGAGUGGAAAGUUCACACUGUGACGGUAUCUUACCAGAAAGGGACGGCUAACUACGUG
rnacentral:rRNA from 1 species